AUAUUUAAUAGGUAUGUGAUAUAUAUAUAGAGUAGGUCAUGUGUGCUCUCAGGAGCACAGAGCCCUCUGUCUUCCUAAGCUAUUUUCAAUGAUGGGACUCCCGAAUUGACGAUCGACUUCGCUAGACUUGAUCUAGCAUAUUUGAAGUAUGUAGAAAAUAAUUUUUGCGAUUUUUCGAUAUCGUUUAUUUAGUGAUCGAAAAGAUUCAAAAUCAAUAAUUUUUAAUGGUCGAUAUCUGCCGUUUCAAGUUUAACGGUAUAGAAGUAUCCAAAUCAGAUGAAAUUCUGAUAGAAAAUUCUUUAUACUAUUUACAGCAAGUUCAAUAUCUCUGAUCGAAAAUUUUAAUACUAUAUCAUCACUUUUUAUGAGAUUCUUAUUUUCAGCCAUUGAUUUUGAACCCUUUCGAUCACUAAUUAAGUAAAUGAGAUCGAAAAAUCGCAAAAUUUAUUUUCUAGAUACUUCAAAUAUACUAGAUCAAGUAUAGCAGAGCCGAUUGUCGAUUCGGGAGUCUCAUCAUCGAAAACAACUCAGGAGCACGGAGGGCUCUGUGCUCAUGAGAGCACAGCAGCCCUGCUCUCUCUCUCUCUCUCUUUCUCUCUCUCUCUCUAUAUAUAUUUUUUAUUUAUUUAUUUACUUAAAAGGGGGUAAUUACGAAUAUACGUGUGAAAAAUUUCAGACUUUUUUAUUUACCCUUCUUCGAGGGCUAAUAUAAAAAAUUUACUUUUAAUGUUCUAAAUUCUUUUAAAUAUAUUUCUAAAGUGAAUCAAUGAAAUAUCUAUUCUGCUCUUUCAAAUAUGCGCUUUAUAUUAUCAACAAUUUUUCUUAUUUACUUUUAAAUUAGACCCAAAAAAAAAAUUUUAACUUCUAUGCGUUUUUAAAUAUACCUUUUUGUAGUCACCAACUUUUCUUAUUUGUUUUUAAGUUAAGAGCACAAAAGAUAUUUUGACUUUUUUUUAAAAUUUUGAUAGAAAUUUAAUCCGUAUUUAAUUCGAGAUGACUUAAUGGAUACUAAAUGUAUGGUUAUUUUUUAAUAAUAGAUAAAUAUACAAGGGGAUAUUCGAAACAAAAAAAUAGUGAUAUAUAAAAUAUUUCAGAAGUUUUAAGAGAUAAAUAGAUAAUUAUUCUCUUUUAAAAAUGAGGAACCAUGAAUUAGUGGU
rnacentral:lncRNA from 1 species